rnacentral:rRNA from 1 species
AGAGCGAACGCUGGCGGCAGGCUUAACACAUGCAAGUCGAGCGGGCGUAGCAAUACGUCAGCGGCAGACGGGUGAGUAACGCGUGGGAACAUACCUUUUGGUUCGGAACAACACAGGGAAACUUGUGCUAAUACCGGAUAAGCCCUUACGGGGAAAGAUUUAUCGCCGAAAGAUUGGCCCGCGUCUGAUUAGCUAGUUGGUGAGGUAACGGCUCACCAAGGCGACGAUCAGUAGCUGGUCUGAGAGGAUGAUCAGCCACAUUGGGACUGAGACACGGCCCAAAACUCCUACGGGAGGCAGCAGUGGGAAUAUUGGACAAUGGGCGCAAGGCCUGAUCCAGCCAUGCCGCGUGAGUGAUGAAGGCCCUAGGUUGUAAAGCUCUUUGUGCGGGAAGAUAAUGACGGUACCGCGAAGAAUAAGCCCGGCUAACUUCGUGCCAGCAGCCGC